AGAGUUUGAUCCUGGCUCAGGAUGAACGCUAGCGGCAGGCUUAACACAUGCAAGUCGAGGGGCAGCGCGGGUAGCAAUAUCUGGCGGCGACCGGCAAACGGGUGCGGAACACGUACACAACAUACCUUUUACUGGAGCAUAGCCCGUUGAAAAGCGGAUUAACACUCCAUAAUAUAAUUGGAAGGCAUCUUCUGGUUAUUAAAAAUUUAUUGGUAAGAGAUUGGUGUGCGUCCUAUUAGCUAGUUGGUAGGGUAACGGCCUACCAAGGCGACGAUAGGUAGCUGGUGUGAGAGCACGACCAGCCACACGGGCACUGAGACACGGGCCCGACUCCUACGGGAGGCAGCAGUGAGGAAUAUUGGUCAAUGGACGAGAGUCUGAACCAGCCAUGCCGCGUGAAGGAUGAAGGCGUUCUGCGUUGUAAACUUCUUUUAUCUGGGAAGAAACCUUCUUUUUCUAAAGAAGCCGACGGUACCAGAGGAAUAAGCACCGGCUAACUCCGUGCCAGCAGCCGCGGUAAUACGGAGGGUGCAAGCGUUAUCCGGAUUUACUGGGUUUAAAGGGUGUGUAGGCGGACUUUUAAGUCAGCGGUGAAAUCUCCGGGCUCAACCCGGAAACUGCCAUUGAUACUAUUAGUCUUGAAUAUUGUUGAGGUAGGCGGAACGGGUCAUGUAGCGGUGAAAUGCAUAGAUAUGACCCGGAACACCGAUUGCGAAGGCAGCCUACUAAGCAAUUAUUGACGCUGAGGCACGAAAGCGUGGGGAUCAAACAGGAUUAGAUACCCUGGUAGUCCACGCCCUAAACGAUGAUUACUCGACGUUGGCGAUACACUGAUCAGCGUCCAAGCGAAAGCAUUAAGUAAUCCACCUGGGAAGUACGUUCGCAAGAAUGAAACUCAAAGGAAUUGACGG
rnacentral:rRNA from 1 species